UACGGGGGGGCAAGCGUUGUUCGGAAUUACUGGGCGUAAAGGGCUCGUAGGCGGCCAACUAAGUCAGACGUGAAAUCCCUCGGCUUAACCGGGGAACUGCAUCUGAUACUGGAUGGCUUGAGUUCGGGAGAGGGAUGCGGAAUUCCAGGUGUAGCGGUGAAAUGCGUAGAUAUCUAGAGGAACACCGGUGGCGAAGGCGGCAUCCUGGACCGACACUGACGCUGAGGAGCGAAAGCCAGGGGAGCAAACGGG
rnacentral:rRNA from 1 species